rnacentral:lncRNA from 1 species
AAACUGUAGUGUGUUUACUUUCAAUAUAUAAAUUUUGAAACCCUUUGACAUAUUUUCUAGAGAAUUAUACGAAAAGACUUCCAAAAUUUCAUAAAUUUGGUGUAAAAUUACGGUGGUCAUGGAUAACACAAACAAGUUCCGUUAAAAGUUGGUCAUAAAACUAUUUGGCUACAAUUUUUAAAACAGAUCAAUAAAAUACACUAACACCAAAAGUUAUUAAAUUUUUUGUCCAAGUUUUCUUAUAAAGAGUUGUAAAUUUAAAAAGUGUUAGUAUUGUCGCCUAUGGCAGAAUAAAUAGUACUUUUCACCUUCAAAGACCAUAAAUCGAUUGAGAGAAACGGGUUACAAACUAAAACAGAGAGAAACACAUCAACUAUAAGAGAAACACAAACGAACAACAGGAACACUGAAGUGAAAAAAACAACAACAACCCGCUGAUAUACAUAGAAAUGAACUAUUUGAUAACAACUGUUAUAUUCCUCACUUGGUACAGGACAUGUUAAGAGAAAACGGUGGGUAAGAUGUUGUAUUUUCGAGAUGGGAUAUGUUUAUAAUAAACUCAUCAUAGAUAUCAGGAAUGAAAUUUAAUAUUUACGCCAGACGCGC